UGGCUAAGAGGUUAAAGCAUCUGCCUGGAAUGUGGGAGACCCAGGUUCGAUCCCUGG
rnacentral:tRNA from 1 species